UUUUUCUCCAGAGAAUAGAAGCAGAGAGAUAUGGUUUGCUAACCAUGAUCGUACAAAGUCAGGGCCGGAAUAUACACAACAGAAGCGACUUCUCAUGGGCCAGAAGAGAAUUUGAAUUUAGCAGUCUAAAAGUGAUCAGGAAGGAUUAGAAUUUCUGCAGAAAACACAACCCAACUCCAUUUUUGCACGACUCGCAUCGGUUACAUGAAAGGGUUAAUAUAAGCAAAAGGUUUCUAAAUUUACCCAAUCUGCGUAAAAUUAAGGAGUCAAGAUUAAUUGGAAAGAGAUUCGAUGAGGCUCGAAGUUACCAAGAGGUGUCUGUGCAGGAUGGAGAAUGCUCCCAGAAAGCAUUGAUCCCAUAACCCAAUAUCAUAGCAAGCGACAGAAGCAGCUGAGGAU
rnacentral:lncRNA from 1 species